rnacentral:rRNA from 1 species
UACGUAGGGUGCGAGCGUUGUCCGGAAUUAUUGGGCGUAAAGAGCUCGUAGGCGGUCUGUCGCGUCGAUCGUGAAAACUUGGGGCUUAACCCUGAGCUUGCGGUCGAUACGGGCAUGACUGGAGUUCGGCAGGGGAGACUGGAAUUCCUGGUGUAGCGGUGAAAUGCGCAGAUAUCAGGAGGGACACCGGUGGCGAAGGCGGGUCUCUGGGCCGAUACUGACGCUGAGGAGCGAAAGCGUGGGGAGCGAACAGG